CCUCUGUGCGGGCAUGCUGGGCUGCCCCUUCUGCUCGGCCGCUUAAAGCUCCGGCCAGUCAAGGGGGUGAUACAAUUUACAUGACUUGGGGGCUGUGAAAUCCUGAUGGGAUCCUCUCAGCCAGCCUCUCUCCAGCUGGCACUGAAGCACUUCUGAAGAUAAAUGCGACAAUUUUCAAAAGAGCUUGAGGGAAAUAAGGCAAGACUUUGUUUACUGAAAAUAAACUUCAAAAGCAUAGUGUUUUAAGAAUAAAGCAAGACUUUGUUUAUUAUCCAGAAGUGAACACCUGAAAGACAGGAACAAUCAAAGAACAGCAAAACAUAUUUGUUUUAAAUGAUAGACAAGGAGAUUGAUGAUUCAUAAGAGGAACUGCAAGUGUUGAUUUUCCAGAAGGGAUGGGAACAAUUGAUUAAGCUACUGUGCUUUUGAAUCAAAAAAGAUGCACUGAGCAUAAGCAAGUGUCUAGUUCUUGUGCUUUAAACUGCAAACAGGAUCACAUAUCCCACACUGAGCUAACAAGCCUUUACUGUAGGUGUUUUCAUUAUUACUAUUACAUUAUAGGCAAGCAAUUACAUUGAGUAUAAAACCUUUUUCUACACUUCACUGAUUACAUUUUUAGUAACAGCUCAUGAACAAAUUAAUCACCUCUUCAGAGAGUGCUCAUUAAAAAUUGUCUUUUUUAGUGAUUCUCUAAGGCUUUUCAAGUUUGUGUAAACAGUGACUGCAGCUCCCA